rnacentral:rRNA from 1 species
CGGGGUGAGUAAUGUCUGGGAAACUGCCUGAUGGAGGGGGAUAACUACUGGAAACGGUAGCUAAUACCGCAUAACGUCGCAAGACCAAAGAGGGGGACCUUCGGGCCUCUUGCCAUCGGAUGUGCCCAGAUGAGAUUAGCUAGUAGGUGGGGUAACGGCUCACCUAGGCGACGAUCCCUAGCUGGUCUGAGAGGAUGACCAGCCACACUGGAACUGAGACACGGUCCAG